AGAGUUUGAUCAUGGCUCAGGAUGAACGCUAGCUACAGGCUUAACACAUGCAAGUCGAGGGGAAACGACAUCGAAAGCUUGCUUUUGAUGGGCGUCGACCGGCGCACGGGUGAGUAACGCGUAUCCAACCUGCCCACCACUUGGGGAUAACCUUGCGAAAGUAAGACUAAUACCCAAUGACGUCUCUAGAAGACAUCUGAAAGAGAUUAAAGAUUUAUCGGUGAUGGAUGGGGAUGCGUCUGAUUAGCUUGGUUGGCGGGGUAACGGCCCACCAAGGCGACGAUCAGGUAGGGGUUCUGAGAGGAACGGUCCCCCANAUUGGAACUGAGACACGGUCCAAACUCCGUACGGGAGGCA
rnacentral:rRNA from 1 species